AGCGCGGACCGCCGCGGAGGUGGGGCUAUUUUUGGAGCCGCCAAGGGAUUCACCCAGUGAAAUUUACAUUACUGGAAUUCCAGUCGUGUCAGCACUUAAAAGACAUUGAUUUUCUCUCUCUCCUGCUGCUCAAAGGAGACACUUGGAAUCUCAAUAGGUGAGCUAAAACAACAGCGUGCCAAUUUUAGACACGUUAACAGGUCUUAUAAGCACAAGGUGUUUCUUUAGGCGCGCUGUGAGGCGCUCGGCGCUCGGCUCCUCCGACCUCCGUGAACUCGCGGUCACAGCGGUUUCGUCACAUUACACGCACGGCGUCAUCUUCCACGAGCACCUGCAGGCACAAUGUGAUCCUGACCUUCUCAAAUGGUGCGACGACGUUCAGCAAUGAGUCUUGAUCCACAGAUCCAUGAGAAGGGAUAAUGCAGGACUCUUUUUUCUUUUUUUUUUUUGAUGCCUGCGGGGGGAACUGUCAUUCCACUUCUGAUUUCAAAUUGCCAUGCGGAGGAUGAAAAAAGAAAAACAGCUGCUGCAGCGAGAGACAGACGACGCUUCCAGAAUCGAGAUUGGAUUAGAGUCAUCCUUGGGUUUCUCUGACAUCUGCUCUCGCAUCGCGACCGACGCGACGACAGCUUCUGAUGUCAACACCGGCUCCAGACCUCGGACACGCACGGGAGGAAAACCUCCAGAGGAUUCCAGUAUGUUUAAACCCUACGCGACGUGUACAUUUUGCCGAUCAACUCGGCCCACGGGUUACGGUCUGGAAGCAUUAUCUUUCCAGAGUUAAACAACCAAGGAGGCUCCAAGGCCGUCGUCCAGCCGUGCAGCCCUGAACAGAUGCACGUGAACAGUUUCUGAUUCAAGGUUCUGACGGUUGAGCUUUUCCCGGAGCUUUCAGCCAUAUCCAGUGGCCCUCAUCGGUGUUUAAUGGAGGCGGAUCUGUGGCCAACUCCAUCUGCUCAUCAGUUGAAAGGCCCUGGAAAGAAAAUACAAGCGAGUGGACAUUGAUUUUCAUCAAACCACAAUCUCCCAGUUAGGGAACGAGCGACGGCAGGGGUGAAUGCAACAGCUCCGCCUCGUCGUCGCACCAAGAAAAAGGAAAAAUGCCUGCUCUUACUUUUCAUCGUUGCCGUUUGUCAUUCUUCGUAUUUUUCUUGGACCAAACAAAUGCAGAGUGGACAAACUGCUUCGUGUUUGAACGGAAACGUAUUCAUGCCGACGUGACCCAACGCCACCCCCCGACUGAUUGGGACAACAUGACUCGCUACGAUCAAAACCCCGCGGAUAAGAGUUCAUUUCUACAGAUGAACAGUGACAAAUGUGACAGGAGGAGCCGUCAUCAGGCCUUUCAUUAAGACGACUUCAAGUCAUGUGCACAUGAUUACCCAAUUAACUCUUCGAACGCUGUGGCUUUCACACACACACACACACACACACACAAACACACACACACUCACACACUCACACUCACACAAACAGCUCGGGGUACCGCGACACCUUUUUAAUCAUCCCUGUCGUGUUUAUGCAACGGGAUAAUUAGGUGAUGAAAUGUAAACGACUCCAGGAGAUACACAAACCGCUCACGAUGCCCGACGCAGACUCCUAUCUCAGCGCCAUCAGCAACCGACUGGCAGCCGUUGGUUCAUGGCCACGUUCUCGCGUGUGCUGUGUAUGGCAUCAUUACGAAACGCUUUUUUUAUUAAUUCUACAGGGGCCAUUUUGGGGGGGGUUCUGUUUGGCAUCAAUCGUGAAAAAUGACUCCAGGAUCGUCGUAAAUCUGUUCAUAAGCAGCGGCGCUGUGUGUUUACACGCGCGAACGUGAGCGAGAGCAGAGCUCGGCUUAUGCCGUCAAGUCGUAAGCUCUCGGGUCCCGGCGAGGUCCGAGGAGGAGGAGGAGGAAGAGGAGGAGGAAGAGGAGGAGGAGGAAGAGGAGGAGGGCCGCAGAAGACAGUUUAAUGAUUAUUACUUGCCCGAAGCCAAACUCAUAACUCAUGUUCUCCCUCCCUGGCUCUCUACGUCUCCAUCCAGCUGAGAGGUGUUGACAGGUGAAGAGUUAGUGAGACAAACAGAUAUUUGGUUUACAGGUGUCGAGGCACAUCAGUUUACAUAAAACCUGUUCGGGGAGCUGCUGCGAGUUCAUGUGUGUUCACGCGUGGAACUGAACUACUCCGGGUGAAGUUCAGUCACUUCAGCAGUCGAAAAGAAAACUUUUUGUUAUAUUUUUUUUUCCCCGGUGAAUUUUUUUGGUUUGGUGACGUUUGUGAGUCGACGAAGCGGCGACUUUUAGAGCUAAUUUGCUGCACAACGUCACAUUCCUGCACAGUUCAGUUACAGACAAACCACAAGAGCAUUUACUUUUUUUUGUUUGAAGAAAAAAAAAAUGAAAUAAAUGCAGUAAAACGUCA